CACCGCGGUUAUACGAGUGGCCCAAGCUGACAGUCCCCGGCGUAAAGAGUGGUUAAGAAACUCCUUAAACUAAAGCCGAACAUCUACAAAGUUGUAUAACGCAUUCGAAGAAUUGAAGCUCAUCCACGAAAGUGGCUUUAAACUCUUUGACCCCACGAAAGCUAAGUAAA
rnacentral:rRNA from 1 species